UCUGCAGUCCCUCUCUAUUCAACAGAAAUAAAUGUGUACAUUCUGGUAAUGAUUUAUCAUAUCCUAAAACAGAUCUCUGGUAGGUCAGAGUCUCUGGAAGUGUGUCUCUCACUAUUGAUAGUAGUCAGAGUUCAAGGGAUUUAUUCAGAUCAAUUAAAUAAAUUUUAUCUAGUCAAAACAAGAAUCUCACUCUGUAUAGAUUCAGAGAAGCCACUGUGUAAUACAUGUACCACUAGCACUGUACUGUAUUUCUAUUACAUAGUCUUAAAUACUGUAUAGGGUUGUUAAUCUUCUCUUUGUGUUAAACUUGGAAUCCCACAAAAACCUAUCUUGUCUAAAUAAAAUUUCUUAAUGAGACAAGUUUAUUUCUAUAAUCGUGGAUUUGAUCACUGGAUCCACAUGACUUUAGCAUGUUCUGACAAUCAUAGCAUCUUUUCUGGGAUAGAUUGACCUUAGCCUUAUGUAACAGAAAGGAAGACAAGGAAAUUAGGAGGAAAAAAUAAAGAAAUUAAUAAAUCCUGAGUUGUGUGACCUUCUGGGGAACUUCCAGGCAAUCAGCAUAUUCUCUUUCUCAGUGAGUUACACACUCACCUGUGUCACCAUGUCAGGAUUUUUUCUGCUUAGUUUUUGGCUUGGUUUAUAAAUCAUAUAACUAAAUCAAUGACUCUCAUUACUUGUAAUGUGAGGUACUGAUUUUUCCUUUACCUGUGUUGAUUCAAGUAAAGGAAUUCUGAUAGAGACAUGUUGGAGAAGAAGGAAGGGUUGGAGGGAGGGAGAGGGAGAGAUGAAAGAAGGCAGAGUGAAGCAAAAGUGGCAUACACCUUUUUUCUGGACAGAGUUUAAUAAUGGAUAUUGUAUACUGACAAAUCUAGGGGAAGAAGAACAUAUUAUUAUGUCAUGAAAUUACAAAAAAUAUCAUAUUUUGGAUAUCUGGAUUUGGACUCUUGGACACUCAGAGAUGCCGCGGUCUCUCUCGUCACCACACACAAAGCUCAGAUCAUUAUGAGAACAGAUGACAACGGAAAUCAGCUCCUUCAGGAAAAAAAAAAAAAAAUGCAGUCCCAGGACUCCAAACUCAUGAAAGUCUUCAGCAAAUUGAUGCACGCUACAUUUCUGUAUGAUUCUUUAUUUUUCUCCCUCUCUCCUUAUUUUUUUUUCUUCAGAAGACUGUUUAAACAUAUAUAUUUAUUUAAUUGAAAAUUUCAUCAAGAAGGGAAAUUUUCAGUAGGACCUUAUAGAUUUAACAACACACAUCCUCUUAAAAGCAUACAUGUAUGUGAUUUUAGAAGAUCUACAAACAUCCUCAAGCUUAAGCAAACACUGUUCUGAACUGGAAAGCUUUUCUGAAUCCAAUAUCUUUCAUACAUAGAGUUCCUUGCAGUAGUCACCGAAAUCCAAGGACAUAAUUUUGUGGUCCCUUAAAGUCAACAUGACCUAGCAGCAACAACAGAGGCUGCCUGACCUCUUCCUCUGUCAGUACAUGCAUUUUCAUUGUCUCAUGGUAACGCUUUCUCUAGAAUCUUACCAGGUGGAAAUGCAGUGAAACUAAACACAACCUCUCAUACUUAAAUGAAGACAAUGAAAACGAGAUUAUAUAAAUCUGUAAUCUACCAUAGGCCUAAGCAUGUACACACUUCAGCACAGAGGAAACGAUAAAGUAUUUUCCAUGUGCCUGUGAGCUCAUGCCAAUGGAAGAUAUUCAGCAGUCCUUCAAGGUGAUAUUCAGGAGAUAAUUUUUCCAUCUCUCUUUUGAUACUUGCAUAGAUUCUUACUUAUACAUCCUUUAUUGAGAGUAUCUGCAUAGUCUAGAUUUAGCCACUUCUGAAUACAGAUAAAAGAAAUAUAAUUGAAAAUUGAACAAAUUAUCAUGUAGCCAGUUAUGUAGAAAUAUGUCUGGCAUGUGGAAAAUUUGACAGAGGAUGAGAAUAGAAUGAACCUUGGAAAAAGAAGGGAAGGGAAGGGAA
rnacentral:lncRNA from 1 species